rnacentral:rRNA from 1 species
UUGAUCAUGGCUCAGAUUGAACGCUGGCGGCAGGCCUAACACAUGCAAGUCGAGCGGUAGCACGGGGAGCUUGCUCCUGGGUGACGAGCGGCGGACGGGUGAGUAAUGUCUGGGGAUCUGCCUGAUGGAGGGGGAUAACUACUGGAAACGGUAGCUAAUACCGCAUAACGUCGCAAGACCAAAGAGGGGGACCUUCGGGCCUCUUGCCAUCAGAUGAACCCAGAUGGGAUUAGCUAGUAGGUGGGGUAAUGGCUCACCUAGGCGACGAUCCCUAGCUGGUCUGAGAGGAUGACCAGCCACACUGGAACUGAGACACGGUCCAGACUCCUACGGGAGGCAGCAGUGGGGAAUAUUGCACAAUGGGCGCAAGCCUGAUGCAGCCAUGCCGCGUGUAUGAAGAAGGCCUUCGGGUUGUAAAGUACUUUCAGCGAGGAGGAAGGNNNNAAGGUUAAUAACCUUGGUGAUUGACGUUACUCGCAGAAGAAGCACCGGCUAACUCCGUGCCAGCAGCCGC